rnacentral:ncRNA from 1 species
GAUGAUAGAGGCGCAAAAAACAUUAGUAAAAAUAGGGAACUUAGCGAGUGUAGAUCUAUUUUGAAAGGGAAUUUUGCCGAAAUAAAAAGAGUGCUAAAUCUUUUUGUUGGUAGUAUGGAAAAUAUUUAUACUACUGUCAUUGAAUUUUCAAUGGAGUGCUAUCUGU